CCAUAAAUUUCUUUACUCUGACUUACUCUUGAAACUGGCCAACUAUUUUUACCUCUCAACACUUGAAAUGUUUAUUGCUUUAAGGAUCUUUAUAUUUUGUCUUUUGAUUCAACUUUUACAUUCAUUUCGUACACCAAAACACAAUUUAUUAGCUUAUUUCAAAUCACGAGACAGUGUUUUCUUGACGAACCCCAAUAAUCACACAACAUCUUAUGGUAUUUAUGUUGCAGGUAGAAUCACAACUAUUGAUGUACCAAAAAGCCUUGCCAAUCUGUCUACCAUUAUCAAUUGGAAAGUGGUCAAUGUCAAUAGAGAUUUAUUAAUGUUUGUCCAUGAUAAAAAACCUCGAAUGCUCGUUCAACAAAAGAAAAUUGAAGACAUGAAAUAUUCUGGUCAAUUGAAUGGUUCAAUAAUAUCUCUUGGUGAUAAUGAAGCUCUUCACGUUGCAACAAUAUUCAAUUCCAAUUUAACCAAACCAAGUGCUACAUGGAACUAUCUUGAAUUGUUGCAUUUUGAUGUUUAUAGUGGCCGAGUGACGAUUACUGAUUCCUUGAAAUGGUUUAAAGAUGAUGAUUGGAAAUUCAUUGUUGAAUGGAAGUUGGCAGAUUUUAUUCAUAUGGACGAUAAAUUGUACCUUUUAAUACAGCGAAGCAUCUUUAGAAAUGCAACCUCAAAUACUACAAACGAAAUGUCGAUAAUAAGAUUGUGUCUCGAUAAAGGAAAUGAAUUUAUUUCAAGUGCAGUUGAGAUUCAUUAUACUAAACCAGAAUUUCAUAAUAACACAAUAACGGAUGCAACUCUUGUUUUCAUAACACAACCCAAUAACAACUUAAUUGAGUCAAUCCAACCAUCGGAACGGUAUUCAAUGGUGAUACAACUUCAAGCUCCUGAUGGUAACUUUACGUAUGUUCGUUAUUAUAUCAAUAAUUUCAUUUCGUUGUUUGACCAAGCUGGGCAAGAAUGUGCUUCUGGCUCUUCUGCUGUAAAUUUAUUUGGAUACCAUUUAAGAUCAGAGGUCGGUAAAUGUGAAAAAACGGCUUAUAAAAGUUGUACUCGAAACAAAAAUACUUUUCCUUCAGUCCGUUACAAUGGAGAUUCAGCCAUGGUGUGGGAUUCACCUUUCACCAACACUCAACCUGUUGAUUCAAUUCCAACUAUAAAUUCAUUUUCCAUUCCGUAUCCAAUUUAUGAUGACUCUGUAGACAUCCAAGUCAAGUCCAUAGCUAAAUGUAUUAAAUGUGUAUUGGCACUCAGAAAUGGUCCACCUGACUGUUCCAUUUCUGGACAGGAAUUUGAUUUCAAUUUUCACCAGCAUGCAUACAUUAAUCAUCUACCGCCGGGUGAAUUAUACGUUUCUGAAUCAACCGAUCAGUCUAUCUUCUUCGACCUUGUGCCAUGUUACAAAUUUAAAAGCUGCAUCCCUUGUAUCAUGUAUGGUCUCAAUUUUGGUUGUGUUUGGUCCAAUUCAGAAUGUACCUAUGAUGGACAACCUAAAAGUGCAAAAUCACAGAUGUUCAAUCUGUGCGUUAAAAUUGUCUCGAUUUCACCUUUGGUAUUCAACAAUACUUCACCAGAAACUUUAGUCGUUCAACUUGACAAGUCACUGGAUUUAACAAAUUCACAAGAAUCUCUAGCCAUCAAAGCUGGUUUCUUCAAUUAUUGUACCAACUUUACUAUGGACAAGACUUUCAUUUAUUGUUCUUUGAAGAUAGUUGCUUCGGGUGAAUUCAGAAUUCAUCUAAACAUUGAAAAUGGUAGAUAUGCAGAUGCUAGUAUUGUUUCAGCUUUAUCUGAGGAAAUAGUUACUGUUAAUUUCGUUGAAAUUGAACAAGCUGAUUCGUUUCCAAUACUCAUUGCAUUAUUUUUAAGCUCUUUAUUUAGUUCAUUACUAGUGAUAAUCUAUCAUAAAUGUGAUAUGGAACAGUUUAAAAGUUAUUUUUUCACGAAAAAAUCAAAGUUACUGCAGCUAACAAGAAAGUUUCCAAAAACCAAAAGUGAAAAACAAAUUAAAGUAUUAAUAAAAAAGUUUAUUCCAAGGAAAAAUAAAAGUUUUGGAGGCAAUUUUUCAACACACUUCAGCUGAUAAGUUUUCCAGUAAACUGAUCAAAUCUUGGUUCACCUAUUCAAACAUGUAGAGUAAUUAUAUUGGCAAAAAAUCCACCAUCAACAUGUUCUCACUGGUCUCAGGUCCAUUGAUUGAAAGGAGCUUUUCCAUAAAAAUGCUGAAAAUUAAGUUAAUCAUCAAACCAACAUCUCAAACUAUGUCAAUAUCUCUUGGAUCAUUCAAUAUCACUAAUCGAACCUAAUAACGUACUGGAAUUGAACCAUUGAAAGAGACUUAUAAUUUGGACCAUCAUUGCCAAAUUUUCUGAACAUUAUCACGAAUCCCAAAACCACUAGCACGUGUAUAUCUUUUCCACUAGAUUCGUUUGAUUAACUCAUCUAGUAGAUGACAUCUACUAGAUUAAGCAUCAGCACCCAUACUGAGUAAAAUCAAUUUAAUUUGAUAAUAGCUAUAAUGGUGCUAAAAUUCUGAUAAUCUGAAUGAUAUUAAUGAUUAUUGAGCACUGAUAGGAUUUUUACCGCCGUGAUGGUCCAAUCCUAGAAGGAUAUUGAUGAAGAUAAAUGAGAUCAGCUGAAUGAUAUGAAAUAUUGUUCAACCUUUUUAAUUAUCAAGUAUUUGGAAUCCAUUCUUUUAAUUAUCUAUCUCAUCUAUGAACCAUAUAUGAAUCUAUCUGCCAUUGUUUAUCACAGAACCCCUACCGCAUAUUAAUUAGAGCUUUUGUUAUAUAAAGACAAAUUAGCUGUAUGAGAAUUAACCAGUUCAAUUUGAAUCAAUUACCAGUGAUAAACAAACAACAAACAAACAUCCAAUUCCAAAAUGAAACUUAUUCUCGUUAUUGCCGUCUGUUUAAUCGGUGCCUCACACCAAUUCAUAUUGGAUGGUGGAUGGGGAUCCGUUGAUGCCAACAGUGAAACCAUCAAAGAUCUUGCUCAAGUCGCCACUGAACACCGAAACAGCCAAAUCAACUCUCUUUACUACCGAACCCUUGUCGAGAUUAAAUCUGCUAAGCAACAAGUCGUCAAUGGUAUGAAAUACGAACUCACUUUGGUCCUCGCCGAUACCAACUGCGCCAAACAAGAUGCUGGUGCCAAACUCUGUCCAGUUGGACAAGGCGCUGCCAAAGAAGAGUGUGUUUACACCAUUUGGAUCGAAUCAACAAAGGAAACUCCAGAAGUCACUUCUAGCUCAUGUACCGACCUUUAAACAAACUGGAAUUCAAUCAAAUUAACAGAAGUCAUUCACCUUAUGAACAAUUUUAUAUUACUUUGCCUUAAAAAUAAAUCAAUCAACAAUAAAUCAUAGCAAUAAUUAAAUAACGAA